UCUCCAAGCACGGGAGCGCACAUGGCGGCCAUGACGGGCAAAGUAGAGAGAAGCCGGCGCGACGGCUGGGAGACGGUCCGGACUGGAUCCCGCCAUCACCACAAGUCACCGCCUCGUCCAUGCACCAAACUGGCUGGAUCGUGGUCCAGCCUAGGGCGCGGUGCUCGAUACAAAGGAUGCGAUGCGGGAUACACAGGAGCGGGCGGUUUGCGUCGAUCGAGUGUUGGCGCGGGAUCCAGCUGAGGUGCUCGAGCAGAGGCACGGGAGGACGAUGCCCUUCCCUUUGUGCCCCCACUCCCGGCGUCGCCGGUCACAUGUAGCCGCCUCUAAACUCCUGGCCCACACGUUGCUUGGGCUGCUUGCAUGUAGACGUCCCCGUCCCUUCAACAAGAGGAAUGAGGCCCUGUUGGAACUACAAGCUACAACCAUCAAUACAGAGAAAGAGGACUUGCGGCCUUUUAUCCCAGUGCCUGAUGUUGCAAGAGUAGCUGUUGAUGUUGGUCCUAGAGCGAAAGUUCUCACAACAGGUCAUCGCCAUGUUGAACUAUUUUAAGGUGGGUGGACUCUCAGAAGGCCAUCUGAGGUUUCUGCAGCUGAGGGUGCUAGGCUUCCCAUUGAUGCAGGCACAACACUAUACACAUUGAGGUCCAUUGGUGCCAAGUUUGCCGGCAUCGGGAAGCCAUUAAACGCAGCGCUGCUUCUCGUGGCGUAGACCUAUACACGGUGCAGCCUGCAAAGCUAGCAACCUUCAUGAUACCGCCACCUGCGACGCCCACAACAUAACUCCGUCUGUCACUGCCCGAUGCCAGUCUCCAUUGAUUUCAUUUCAGAAAAAAGUCUCCCUGGAUACCCUCACCGCCCUAAUCAGAGACCACCGAGGCCGGGAACGACUCUCCAUGGAACCAAGUGGUGACUGGCGGCAAUGGCAAGAGCAUAUUGUGCAGAGGAAGAGGAUAA